ACGUCAUUUUCGCCAAACUACAUUGUGACCGCCAUCUUGUCAGAAAUUGCGUGACAAAAAGUUGCCAUCAGAAAAAGUAGCGUCGGCGUCGUUCCGUUUGCCGCCUGGCCAAUCCGAAUAUGGCACGGUUUCCAUUGCCUCGACCUGGAAGGCUCGAUCAAUUUUCAGAAAAAUGUCAACGAGAACCACAUGGCCCACGGAGGAACUUCACCACCAGCACCCUCAACUCCGGCGGCCGCUAAUUGGAAUCAAGUUGGACAUGUCAAGUUGGACGGCAUAUUUCCCGGAUCCGCCGGCAUCCUGCCGGAAGACGACUAUAGUCACUAAAGUCACAGGAAAAACGAAGAAAAUGUGUGUGUGAAGAUGAAGUGAAGAUGAAGUGUAAUUGAAAAUUGAGUGUUUAAUAAAUUGAUAAAGAUUCUUUUGUUAUGUUUUU